rnacentral:rRNA from 1 species
AUUGAACGCUGGCGGCAGGCCUAACACAUGCAAGUCGAGCGGAGCGCCGGACGGGUGAGUAUUGCCUAGGAAUCGGCCUGGUAGUGAGGGAGAACGUCCGGAAACGGGCGCUAAUCCCGCAUACUAUCACAUGAGCCUAGGUCGGAUUAGCGAGUUGGUGGGGUAACGGCUUACCAAGGCGAAGAUCCGUAGCUGGUCUGAGAGGAUGAUCAGUCACACUGGGACUGAGACACGGUCCAGACUCCUACGGGAGGCAGCAGUGGGGAAUAUUGGGCAAGGGGCGCAAGCCUGAUCGGGCAAUGCCGCGUGUGUGAAGAAGGUCUUCGGAUUGUAAAGCACUUUAAGCUGGGAAGCGUUACCGACAGAAAAAGCACCGGCUAACUACGUGCCAGCAGCCGCGGUAAUUC